AUUUUAGCGCAUGGUAAUAUUUGAUGCAGUUGUCUCUCCUUAAGUAUUGUGAUUUUCUUCCUUUAUUAAGAGGGUUGUGGGUCAUUCCAUGCUUCUCUUAAGGUAUCUUUUUACUCUGUUUUACUGUUAUAUUUUAGAAGAUAGUUUUAAGAAACAUAAAAACCAUGCUUGUUAUCUUAACGUAGUAGUAGUGUACAUAAUAGUAAAAAGGGCAAGCCAGCCCCCUCUGCCCUCGAAAAACUGUAUUCUCCAACUCCCACUACAUUUUCUCAUAUUGAAUCUGUUCCACCUGUGAUUUAUUGUUUUCCUGAACUUUGGGAGUUUUAAGCAAUGAUACAGUUGAAGGGACUGUUUAUAAUUUUCACAUGUUUAAGUUGUGAGGCUUUAAAACUUAAAUAUAAGGCUUUGUCUAGGAAGAAAAUGAUCUUUACCUUCAAUAAAUUUAUAAUGUAGCACUAAUCCAGUAUAGAUUGGAGACUGAAUGCAUUCUUACUCUUAGGGUUCAUACCUCUAAUUCAUGUGGUUAAGACAGUGUUGUGGUGAAGUAAUAGGGCCCCUUGAAAGAAUCUACAGAAACAUAAAUUAUACUGAGUUGUGCUGUACUGGUUUGUGAGAACAUCAGUGUAUUAAGGAGAAUGGUAGUUUAAUUUGAAUAUUUAAAGAAAGUAAUUUGAAUGGUUCUAGUACUAGGGCCAUUAUUAACUAGUAACAUAGAUUAGUGACUUCAACUGGGUGUCCUUAUUAUCUGAUUUGUCUGAAGUGAAAACUGUUAAGGUGCUCUUUUAAAAUGUAUUUGGAAACACCAUAGUUAGGGUAAAUACAAUGUCACAAUUCACUCUUGCAUAUUAUUUGCUUAGCCAAAUUUAUGAAUUCUAAGUUAGGCCAAAUUGAAGGUUUUGGAGUUUUACAUUGUGGGUGAGUCUAAAUUCAUGCGUUUGGCAAGCACAAGGACAUGGGAAAAGAAUCUGGUAUUUUGAGGCAGGCUUGAGUUUAUAAUGAAAGCAAACUCAGUUCCUCUUCAUGUCCUAUGUAUUUAAGAGAGGACAGUUUUCCCUCAGUUUUUUUCCCCUUCCUUACCCCUACCCCCAUCAAAUACAGCCCAACCAAAUAACUGUGUUCUUAAUUUAAAGGAAAAUGGCAGACUUGACACCUGCUGAAUAUUUCGUGUAGACAGAGUAUGACAAUGAAUGAGAUCCCCAGUCAUUGCCCUUGUAAGCCUGGGAACCCAGUUUAGUGGGAGAGACUAAUGUAAACAGCUUUAAUCAAAAGUAUAUCAAUUGGCCGGGUGCUGUGGCUCACACCUAUAAUGCCGGCACUUUGGGAGGCCAAGGUGGGUGGAUCACUUGAGGUCAGGAGUUUGAGACCACCCUGGCCAACAUGGUGAAACCCUCUCCCUAUUUAAAGAAAAAAAAGUAAGGCAUAUCAAUUUAUGGUUAUCAAAUAGGUUUUUUUUUUUUUUUUUGAGACUGAGUGUCGCUCUAUAGCCCAGGCUGGAGUGUAGUGCUCACUGCGACUUCCGCCUCCUGGGUUCAAAUGAUUCUCGUGCCUCAGUCUCCCGAGUAGCUGGGAUUGUAGGCGCCUGCCACCACGCCCAGCUAAUUUUUGUAUUUGUAGUAGAGAUGGGGUUUCAUCAUGUUGGCGAAGCUGGUCUUGAACACCUGACCUCAAGUGAUCUGCCUUAGCCUCACUGCUUGCCCCUAAGUGGUGGGAUUGCAGGUGUGAGCCACUGUGCUGGCCUCAAAUAGUUUUUAUCAAAGCUACUUCAAUUAGUGGUUAGCAAGGCUUAAAGACUAAUUCAGUGCUUUAUUUUGACACUUGUUCGCAACAUGUUGCUUUUUUUCCUGUGUCCUAUGGGACCUAGUCAUCUGUAUGUUAGAUUCACAGAGGAAUUAAAGAGAUAAACAUGCAUGUGCU
rnacentral:lncRNA from 1 species